AUGCAACGCGAAGAACCUUACCAUCCCUUGACAUCCACAGAAGAGACCAGAGAUGGACUUGUGCCUUCGGGAACUGUGUGACAGGUGCUGCAUGGCUGUCGUCAGCUCGUGUUGUGAAAUGUUGGGUUAAGUCCCGCAACGAGCGCAACCCCUAUCCUUAUUUGCCAGCGCGUUAUGGCGGGAACUCUAAGGAGACUGCCGGUGAUAAACCGGAGGGAGGUGGGGACGACGUCAAGUCAUCAUGGCCCUUACGGGAUGGGCUACACACGUGCUACAAUGGCAGGUACAGAGGGCAGCAAUACCGCGAGGUUGAGCGAAUCCCACAAAGCUUGUCGUAGUCCGGAUUGGAGUCUGCAACUCGACUCCAUGAAGUCGGAAUCGCUAGUAAUCGUAGAUCAGAAUACUACGGUGAAUACGUUCCCGGGCCUUGUACACACCGCCCGUCUCA
rnacentral:rRNA from 1 species